CUACCGGCCAGUUGCACUGGUUAUGAAGGUGUUCGAGAGGCUGUUAAAGAACAUCAUCUCCUCCUCCAUCCCAAACACCGCUCCACAGAUCCACUCCAGUUUGGCUACUGACCGAACAGAUCCACAGAGGAUGCCAUCGCCAUGUCCUGCACACCACUCUUAGCCACGUGGACAAGAAACAAGACUGUGUGGCCACCCAUGGCUCCAGUACCAUUGUGAAGUUUGCUGACGACACAGUGGUAUUGGGUGCUAUCUCCAACAAUGAUGAGGCAGUCUACAUAGAUGAAGUGAAGAAUCUGGUAUCGUGGUGCCAGGAUAACCACCUCUAGCUGAACGUCAGCAAGACCAAGGAGCUGGUGGUGUCACAACACCAGCCAACACAGAGAAGAGGACUCAAAUGCAGACACCACAUGGAGGCUCGGAGAUUCUGUCAGAGAUCAAGAAAGAAAC